UACGGAGGGUGCAAGCGUUAUCCGGAUUCACUGGGUUUAAAGGGUGCGUAGGUGGGCUGGUAAGUCAGUGGUGAAAUCUCCAGGCUUAACUUGGAAACUGCCAUUGAUACUUUCAGUCUUGAAUACCGUGGAGGUCAGCGGAAUAUGUCAUGUAGCGGUGAAAUGCUUAGAUAUGACAUAGAACACCAAUUGCGAAGGCAGCUGGCUACACGAAUAUUGACACUGAUGCACGAAAGCGUGGGGAUCAAACAGG
rnacentral:rRNA from 1 species